rnacentral:misc_RNA from 1 species
GAUGAAGAACGCAGCGAGAUGCGAUAAGUAAUGCGAAUUGCAGAAUUCAGUGAAUCAUCGAAUCUUUGAACGCACAUUGCGCCCGCCAGUAUUCUGGCGGGCAUGCCUGUCUGAGCGUCGUUUCGACCCUCGCGCCCGGCUUCUGUCGGGGGCGGUGUUGGGGAUCGGCCACACCCUUCAGUGGGAGGCCGGCCCCUAAAUUCAGUGGCGACCACGCUGUAGCCUCCCCUGCGUAGUACUAAAACCACCUCGCAGGCGGAGAGCGGUGCGGCCCGCCGUAAAACCCCCCAACUUUUACAAGGUCGACCUCAGAUCAGGUAGGAAUACCCGCUGAACUUAAGCAUAUCAAUAAGCGGAGGA